rnacentral:rRNA from 1 species
UACGUAGGUGGCAAGCGUUGUCCGGAAUUACUGGGUGUAAAGGGAGCGCAGGCGGGAAGCCAAGUCAGCUGUGAAAACUACGGGCUUAACUUGUAGACUGCAGUUGAAACUGGUUUUCUUGAGUGAAGUAGAGGUUGGCGGAAUUCCGAGUGUAGCGGUGAAAUGCGUAGAUAUUCGGAGGAACGCCGGUGGCGAAGGCGGCCAACUGGGCUUUAACUGACGCUGAGGCUCGAAAGUGUGGGGAGCAAACAGG